rnacentral:rRNA from 1 species
GACGAACGCUGGCGGCGUGCUUAACACAUGCAAGUCGAACGAUGAUGCCAGCUUGCUGGUGGAUUAGUGGCGAACGGGUGAGUAACACGUGAGCAACCUGCCCCUGACUUCGGGAUAACCGCGGGAAACCGAGGCUAAUACCGGAUAUGACGCGCUAUCGCAUGGUGGUGUGUGGAAAGAUUUAUCGGGUGGGGAUGGGCGCGCGGCCUAUCAGCUGGUUGGUGGGGUGAUGGCCUACCAAGGCGACGACGGGUAGCCGGCCUGAGAGGGUGACCGGCCACACUGGGGCUGAGACACGGCCCAGACUGCUGCGGGAGGCAGCAGUGGGGAGUAUUGCACACUGAGCGCAAGCCUGAUGCAGCGACGCCGCGUGGGGGAGGACGGCCUUCGGGUUGUAAACCUCUUUCAGUAGGGAAGAAGGCCUUCGGGUUGACGGUACCUGCAGAAGAAGCGCCGGCUAACUACGUG